UACGUAGGGUGCAAGCGUUAAUCGGAAUUACUGGGCGUAAAGCGUGCGCAGGCGGUUAUGCAAGACAGAUGUGAAAUCCCCGGGCUUAACCUGGGAACCGCAUUUGUGACUGCAUAGCUGGAGCACGGCAGAGGGGGAUGGAAUUCCGCGUGUAGCAGUGAAAUGCGUAGAUAUGCGGAGGAACACCGAUGGCGAAGGCAGUCCCCUGGGCCUGUACUGACGCUCAUGCACGAAAGCUAGGGGAGCAAACAGG
rnacentral:rRNA from 1 species